GGGAUGCUUGAGAGCUUCGGAGUUUCAGAGCUUCAGAGCUUCAAGGUGUAAUAUGAAUUGGUUCCCCCAAAAUGAAUGAAAUGGGCUUGUAUUUAUAGAAUUUUCCAAGGCCUAAUUUUGAAUAUAAUAUCCCAGAUGAAAUAAGUCGUUUCUGCCAAGUGUUGACACGUGUCCUGUUUGAUGACUUUUCCAACUUAUUUCGAUUUUUUGUUUAGACACACGCUACAUGUAAAAUUUAUGUAAUACAUGAGCGAUGAAACUUUGAUUUAUCGGUCAACAUUUAUUUACCGAAAUUUCGAUGUCUACAAAUGCCCCCACUUCAAGGCGCGUCGUAUACAUGUGCUUGUCAUGUAUAGGAGAUGUGUUUUGAAGUCCCUUACUGUAGAUAUCGAUCCAAGGGCCGUUGGGGCUUGAUCUUGAAUUGGGUUGGAGAUUUCUUCAAGGGCCGUUGAGGCUUGAUCUUGAAUUGGGUUGGAGAUUGGACCACAAGGAGUUUCAUGUGGUAGAUGAUCUUUGACUUUGGUAGUGGAUGAAUCGGCACGUAUUUUGUUGCGCUUGUUGACUUUCCACAGCUUUGAUCUUGAAUUGGGUUGGAGAAUUUUCUGGAUUCCUCCAAUUGUUGAUUUUCCACAGCUUAUUCUUGAACUAGGUUUUGAUUCAAGGGUGGUAGACACUUGAUCUUGAAUCGGACUUGUGAUUUCUUCAAAGGCCGUCGAGGCUUGAUCUUGAAUUUGGCCGGAAACUUCUUCAAGGGCCGUUGAGGCUUGAUUCUUGAA
rnacentral:lncRNA from 1 species